GCAGUCGAACGGUAGCACAGAGAGCUUGCUCUCGGGUGACGAGUGGCGGACGGGUGAGUAAUGUCUGGGAAACUGCCUGAUGGAGGGGGAUAACUACUGGAAACGGUAGCUAAUACCGCAUAACGUCGCAAGACCAAAGAGGGGGACCUUCGGGCCUCUUGCCAUCAGAUGUGCCCAGAUGGGAUUAGCUAGUAGGCGGGGUAACGGCCCACCUAGGCGACGAUCCCUAGCUGGUCUGAGAGGAUGACCAGCCACACUGGAACUGAGACACGGUCCAGACUCCUACGGGAGGCAGCAGUGGGGAAUAUUGCACAAUGGGCGCAAGCCUGAUGCAGCCAUGCCGCGUGUGUGAAGAAGGCCUUCGGGUUGUAAAGCACUUUCAGCGGGGAGGAAGGCGGUACGGUUAAUAACCGUGCUGAUUGACGUUACCCGCAGAAGAAGCACCGGCUAACUCCGUGCCAGCAGCCGCGGUAAUACGGAGGGUGCAAGCGUUAAUCGGAAUUACUGGGCGUAAAGCGCACGCAGGCGGUCUGUCAAGUCGGAUGUGAAAUCCCCGGGCUCAACCUGGGAACUGCAUUCGAAACUGGCAGGCUGGAGUCUCGUAGAGGGAGGUAGAAUUCCAGGUGUAGCGGUGAAAUGCGUAGAGAUCUGGAGGAAUACCGGUGGCGAAGGCGGCCUCCUGGACGAAGACUGACGCUCAGG
rnacentral:rRNA from 1 species